rnacentral:rRNA from 1 species
GACGGAAGGUGCAAGCGUUGCUCGGAAUCACUGGGCGUAAAGGGUGCGUAGGCGGGUCUUUAAGUCAGGGGUGAAAUCCUGGAGCUCAACUCCAGAACUGCUUUUGAUACUGAAGAUCUUGAGUUCGGGAGAGGUGAGUGGAACUGCGAGUGUAGAGGUGAAAUUCGUAGAUAUUCGCAAGAACACCAGUGGCGAAGGCGGCUCACUGGCCCGAUACUGACGCUGAGGCACGAAAGCGUGGGGAGCAAACAGG